rnacentral:rRNA from 1 species
ACUGCGAGUGAAGCGGGAAAAGCUCAAAUUUAAAAUCUGGCGGUCUUUGGCUGUCCGAGUUGUAAUCUAGAGAAGUGUUACCCGCGUUGGACCGUGUACAAGUCUCCUGGAAUGGGGCGUCAUAGAGGGUGAGAAUCCCGUCUUUGACACGGACUACCAAGGCUUUGUGGUGCGCUCUCAAAGAGUCGAGUUGUUUGGGAAUGCAGCUCAAAAUGGGUGGUAAAUUCCAUCUAAAGCUAAAUAUUGGCGAGAGACCGAUAGCGAACAAGUACCGUGAGGGAAAGAUGAAAAGAACUUUGGAAAGAGAGUUAAACAGUACGUGAAAUUGCUGAAAGGGAAACGCUUGAAGUCAGUCGCGUUGUCCGGAAAUCAACCUUGCUUUUUGUUGGGUGUACUUUCUGGUUGACGGGCCAGCAUCAGUUUUGACCGGUGGAAAAAGUCCAAGGGAAUGUGGCAUCUUCGGAUGUGUUAUAGCCUUUGGUCGUAUACAUCGGUUGGGACUGAGGAACUCAGCACGCCGCAAGGCCGGGUCUUUGACCACGUUCGUGCUUAGGAUGCUGGCAUAAUGGCUUUAAUCGACCCGUCUUGAAACACGGACCAAGGAGUCUAACAUGCCUGCGAGUAUUUGGGUGGAAAACCCGAGUGCGCAAUGAAAGUGAAAGUUGAGAUCCCUGUCGUGGGGAGCAUCGACGCCCGGACCAGAAGUUUUCUGACGGAUCUGCGGUAGAGCAUGUAUGUUGGGACCCGAAAGAUGGUGAACUAUGCCUGAAUAGGGUGAAGCCAGAGGAAACUCUGGUGGAGGCUCGUAGCGAUUCUGACGUGCAAAUCGAUCGUCAAAUUUGGGUAUAGGGGCGAAAGACUAAUCGAACC